UACGAAGGGGGCGAGCGUUGUUCGGAAUUACUGGGCGUAAAGGGUGCGUAGGCGGGUCUUUAAGUCAGGGGUGAAAUCCUGGAGCUCAACUCCAGAACUGCCUUUGAUACUGAAGAUCUUGAGUUCGGGAGAGGUGAGUGGAACUGCGAGUGUAGAGGUGAAAUUCGUAGAUAUUCGCAAGAACACCAGUGGCGAAGGCGGCUCACUGGCCCGAUACUGACGCUGAGGCACGAAAGCGUGGGGAGCAAACAGG
rnacentral:rRNA from 1 species